GUGAAAACAAUGAGCAUGUGAAACAACAAGAUAUACAGCAUAUAGGGAGUUCAACAGAGGAGGCACAUGUUGGCAAACUUGAGAUAGUAAAAAAGCUACACUGUAAUGUAUCACAGCACAACUCAACUCCUGUAGAGGCAGCAAAAGUCAUCUGAUUGUGCCCAACAGGUGAAGGAGCUUGGUGACCUUUCACCCCUCUGGGAUGGGCUCUGCCAUGAUGUCAUCAACCACUGCAACCCUCUCAUUGGUUAUCAGGAAAGACUCACCAUGCUCGACCAACCAAAAUUGCAUUGUUUUCACAGAUUUUAGAAGUAAUACUCCACACAAAAUGUAU